rnacentral:rRNA from 1 species
AGCCGCCACGGGAAUACGGAGGGGGCUAGCGUUGUUCGGAAUUACUGGGCGUAAAGGGUGCGUAGGCGGUUGUUUAAGUCUGUUGUGAAAUCCCCGGGCUCAACCUGGGAAUGGCAAUGGAAACUGGACGGCUAGAGUGUGUCAGAGGAUGGUGGAAUUCCCGGUGUAGCGGUGAAAUGCGUAGAGAUCUGGAGGAAUACCGGUGGCGAAGGCGGCCCCCUGGACAAAGACUGACGCUCAUGCACGAAAGCGUGGGGAGCAAACAGGAUUAGAUACCCGCGUAGUCCCUGUCUCUUAUACA